rnacentral:rRNA from 1 species
UACGGAGGGUGCGAACGUUAAUCGGAAUCACUGGGCGUAAAGCGCGCGUAGGCGGUUUGCUAAGUGGGAUGUGAAAUCCCCGGGCUUAACCUGGGAAUGGCAUUUCAAACUGGCCGACUAGAGUACGGUAGAGGGAGGUAGAAUUUCCUGUGUAGCGGUGAAAUGCGUAGAUAUAGGAAGGAAUACCAGUGGCGAAGGCGGCCCCCUGGAUCGAUACUGACGCUGAGGCGCGAAAGCGUGGGGAGCAAACAGG